GAUCGAUGGCGCAGUCAAUAUCACCGGCCUCCAAAGAGCGCCUGAUCUGGCGGAUGAUCAACCUGGAAUGGUAAGAGGAGGAAGAAAGGGAGGAAGGGGAAGAAGGUGGGGAGGAUGAAAGGGAAUCCUCAAUCAAGUUCUCUGAUCUAGCGAAGUCGAUGAUUAGGGCAUCGAGAGCUUCCCAGUUCAAAGGGGUGGAGUCCAUUUGGAAGGAAGAGGGUA
rnacentral:misc_RNA from 1 species